AGGAUUAACGCUGGCGGCGUGCCUAACACAUGCAAGUCGAACGAGGUAGCAAUACCUAGUGGCAGACGGGUGAGUAACGCGUGGUCAACCUACCGUUGAGUGGGGGAUAACUAGCCGAAAGGUUAGCUAAUACCGCAUACGAGUUUCGGGGGCAUCCCUGGAUCUUAAAAGGAGCAAUCCGCUCGAUGACGGGACCGCGUCCCAUUAGCUAGAUGGUGGGGUAACGGCCUACCAUGGCACCGAUGGGUAGCUGGUUUGAGAGAGCGACCAGCCACACUGGGACUGAGAAACGGCCCAGACUCCUACGGGAGGCAGCAGUGAGGAAUUUUCCGCAAUGGGCGAAAGCCUGACGGAGCGACGCCGCGUGUGGGAAGAAGGCCUUCGGGUCGUAAACCACUGUCGAAGGGGACGAUAAUGACGGUACCCUUGGAGGAAGCCCGGCUAACUACGCGCCAGCAGCCGC
rnacentral:rRNA from 1 species